ACUCCUACGGGAGGCAGCAGUGGGGAAUCUUGCGCAAUGGGCGAAAGCCUGACGCAGCCAUGCCGCGUGAAUGAUGAAGGUCUUAGGAUUGUAAAAUUCUUUCACCGGGGACGAUAAUGACGGUACCCGGAGAAGAAGCCCCGGCUAACUUCGUGCCAGCAGCCGCGGUAAUACGAAGGGGGCUAGCGUUGCUCGGAAUUACUGGGCGUAAAGGGAGCGUAGGCGGACUGUUAAGUUAGAGGUGAAAGCCCAGGGCUCAACCUUGGAAUUGCCUUUGAUACUGGCAGUCUUGAGUACGGAAGAGGUAUGUGGAACUCCGAGUGUAGAGGUGAAAUUCGUAGAUAUUCGGAAGAACACCAGUGGCGAAGGCGACAUACUGGUCCGUUACUGACGCUGAGGCUCGAAAGCGUGGGGAGCAAACAGGAUUAGAUACCCUGGUAGUCCACGCCGUAAACGAUGAGUGCUAGUUGUCGGCAUGCAUGCAUGUCGGUGACGCAGCUAACGCA
rnacentral:rRNA from 1 species